GUGGGUAGAAAACGUCUGCGUUUUUCUUUUGUUUACCAUAGAGAGGCUCAGAAGAGGUAAAAAGGGGAUGGAAACAUGCCUUGGCCUCAACAUUUCCAUUUCUAGGAAUUUGUCCCAAGAGAUCAUUGGCGAAAUACACAAAGAUGUCUGCAAAAGGAUUUUACAGUGUGGUUUGUAUUCUGAAAAAUGGAGAUUAAGAAAAUAAAUUAUAGCAUGGCCAUGGAAAACUAUGUAGCUGUCAAACAGGACAAUGUAGAUCUGUAAACUCUGACAUGGAAAGACAUUCAUGUCAUCGUUGAGGGAGAAAGGCAAGAUAUAAAACAGGGUGAAGUGUACAGCUCCAUUGAUAUAAAAAUGGUGAGCACAUAGCACAUCAUAGGGUGAGCACAUGGACAGGUACCUGGGAGGAUGACCGUGGUGGUGAAUCAACUUGACUAGGCUCUGGUUCCCAGUUGUUUGGCCAGACACUAGUCUAGUUGCUAUCCUAGUUACAUGUGAUGAAGUCAGCUAACCUUGGGUAGAGCAGGUUACCUUCAAUAAUGAAAUGUAAUGUAAUAAUGGCCUUACAUCAAAUGUAAUAUAAUAUAAUAUAAUCACUUCCCAUAAUGCAAUCUAAUGUAAUGAAAUCAAUCAGUUGAGGUCAUACCAGUGUAGUGUGAAGCCUAAAUCUAAUCAAUUCUGAGUUAUAAAACCAGAAUAGGUACUGUUAUGGGUUGAAUUAUGUCCCCCCAAAAUAUGUGUCAACUUGGUUAGGCCAUGAUUCCCAGUACUGUGUGGUUGUCCUCCAUUUUGUGAUUUUCCUGUGUGUUAUAAAUCAUAAUCUCUGCCUGUGGUUAAAGAGGAUUAGGGUGGGAUGCAGCACCCUUGCUCAGGUCACAUCCCUGACCCAACCUAGGGGGGUUUCCCUGGGGUGUGGCCGGCACCACCUUUUAUCUUGCAAGAGACAAAAGGAAAGAGAAGCAAGCAGAGAGUUGGGGACCUCAUACCACCAAGAAAGUAGUACUAGGAGAAGGAUGUGUCCUUUGGACCUGGGGUUCCUGCAUGGAGAAGCUCCUAGUCCAGGUGAAGGUUGAUGAGAAGGAUCUUCCUCCAAAGCCAACAGAGAAAGAAGGCCUUCCCCUGGAACUGGCACCCUGAAUUUGGACUUCUAGCCUCCUAGACUGUGAGAAAAUAAAUUUCUCUUUGUUAAAGCCGCCCACUUGUGGUAUUUCUGUUACAGCAGCACUAAAUGACUAAGACAGACACCGUGACAUAUACGCACAAGGGAAGACAGACAACAUGUGAAGAUCUACAAGCAAAGGACCACUGACACCAGAAACUAGGAGAAAGGCUCCCAGAAGGGAUCAACCUGGCCAAGACCCUGAUUUAGACUUUUAGCCUCCAGAUUUUCUCACUGUGAGAAAAUAAAUCUGUCUUCUUCAAAGCCACCCACUUGUGGCAUUUCCAUUACAGCAGCACUAGGAAACUAAGACGAAAUGAGCGUCCAAAGGCUAAGGGUGAUGUCUGGCUUCCAGGAAUGGCAAAAUCACAUCUGCCAAUAGCAAUUAUAACUCUGGAUGAAAUAUAAAGGCCAACUGUUUGAAGACACUGGAGAGCAGGAAAGAAGGGAAGUGUAUUUGACUCUUGAAAGCUGGGAUCCAUGUCUCUCCAGCUUUUCCCCUAGGGAUGCACCCCAGUUCGUACUGUGCUCAGGGGAUAAAUGCAAGCUGAAAGUCACAGCAGCACUGGCUCGGGGAGUCAGGGGUUGGAGUCCAUUGUAUCAGAGAACGUACCUGGUAUUAUUUGAAUCCUUUUUAAUGUAUCGAGACUCGUUUUAUGGCCCUACAUAUGGUUUAUCUUGAUCAGCAUUCCCUGUGCACUGGGAAAGAAUAUGCAUUUGACAGUUGGUGAGUGCAGGAUUCUACAAAUUCCAACUGAGUCCAGGCAUGGGGAGGUGGGGGAAAGUGGCAGGUGAGGUUAUUUGUAACCAGAAUUCCAGGAUUCCUUAGCAGGUGUCUGCUUAUCCCUCACUGGCCAGAACCAGGUCACAGGACUACUUCUAGCCACAAGGGAGUGCUCUGGGCAACCGGGGCUUGUCUCUUACAGAGGCUUCCCAGAACAGCCCAUCAAGGAGCAGGUGAUUGGAGUGUUCAUCCCCUGACUGUGUCCCCAUUGGUUGAGGAUUGCCUUAGAGCCAUUAGCUUCCUCACCCAUUAGCUGCACCUAGUCAGGGGUGGAGCAAGCCUCCACCGCUUUGGAGAAAGUCCUAGAGCAGCAAAGUGGAGAGCCACAUGCAGCAACCUGCUGGUGGGUGAGAUGCCACCAGCACGCAUAAGACUGUCCACCACUGCUGUGGCUGCAGUUAGAGAGGCCAAGGGGGCAUGACAAAGGCUUACAGUGCUGGCUUACUGGAGUAAAAGCUCUGUCUGGAGGGGCAAGACUGGGAUCCCAAAAGUGCCUGCCCCGUGCUGGCCUGGAGAAGUGUCCCAAACCUAGUGACCACGUGUUCUCUGUGGAUUCAGGCCUCGCAAGAGCAGAGGUUGCGUCACAUCAUUCUCUCUUCUCCAUUCCUCAGACAAAAGAGAAGAAACAGUGAGCCGGAUCGAACUGUGUCAGUUCAGACCAGCUCCCUGUGGCUGGCCUGCGAACAGGCAAAACACUCAGGUCACCGGAAGGAAGCAGCCUCGAGGUCGGAGAGCCAGCACAGAAGCAGGAAGAGCCUGAUGGGGAAACUGUGGCUCAGGAUGGUGAAGUCACUUGUCCAAAGUCACACAGCAAGUGGGAGGCACAGCAGAGUCUAACCUAGGUCCACCUGGCUUGGUGGCUGUUUGGCUGCCCCAGAAAGGGUCAAUGAUUUGUACAAGUUUACACAGGAGCAUGGUGUGCAGAACAAAGGAGGUGGUAGAUACUCUCUGGCCCCCAUCUCAGGCCACACCAGGAAAGUCGGCCAGUUCUGGAUGCCACCCCUGGAGAGAGACAUUAACGAACAGGAGCGUGUCCAGGGAAGAGUGACGGGGGGACCACUUGACCCAACAGGUCAGGUAAGGAGCGAGAAGCAAAAAUAGGAGGUGUUUAAUGUGGAGGGGAGACUUGGUCCCUGACUUAGCUAAGGAUUGUUGUGAGAAAGCAGUGCAGGCUUCCCAGGGCACAGAAGUGAUAUCAACACGGAGAAGAUGCAGAUUUCAGCUCAGUGGAAGGGCACUCUUAGUGACAUCAGAAUAGCCUAGUGACAGAACAGGCUGUGUGAAAGUGCUGAGUUACCCAUCACUGUAGGUGAUCGAUACAGGACAACUCUCAGGGCAGAGUGUAGAACGGAAAGGGCUGUAGAAUUCUUCACACCUCACUAACAGCUAACUCACCCCAGGCUCAGAGCUCUUGAUUCAGUGAGGUCCUGGUGACGCAGUUACAAAAAAACAAACAAACCAGUCACCUCGAGUGGACUGUGACUCAUGGUGACCCCAUGUGUGUCAGAGUAUAAACUGUUUUUCAGUGGUUGAUUUUUUGGAAGUAGAUCACCAGGCCUGUCUUCCAAGCUGCCUCUGGGUGGACUGAACCUCUAUACUUUUGGUGAAUAGCUGAGCACAUUAACCAUUGCGCCACCCAAGGACUCCAUUAAGCACUUACUAGGGACUAAAAGUUUUAUGGAUAUAUCAAGUUUUCCACAGCCAAGCGCAGUGGUGGCCUGAGUUGGCAUCUGAUACAUUUCUAGGUCACUAGACUAAGGUGCGCCUGAUCCAAGCCAUGGUGGUGUUUUCAAUUGCCUGUGAAAGCUGAACAAUGAAUAAGGAAAAAAGAAUUGAGGCCUUUGAAUUAUGGUGUUGGUGAAGAAUAUUGAAUAUUCCAUGGACUGCCGAAAGAACAAACAAAUCUCUCUUGGAAGAAGUACAGCCAGGAUGCUCCCUGGAAGCAAGGAUGGCAAGACUUUGUCUACAGCGCUUUGGACAUGUUAUCAGCAGGGAUCAGUCCCUAGAGAAGGACAUCAUGCUUGGUAAAGUAGGGGGUCUGUGAAAAAGAGGAAGACCCUCAACGAGAUGGAUUGACACAGUGGCUGCAACGAUGGGCUCAAGCAUAGUGACUGUGAGGAUGGCACAGGACCAGGCAGUGCUUCGUUCUGUUGUACAUUGAGUCCCUAUGAGUCAGAACCUCACCUAACAACAAGCUGCCUAACUCUGCAUCCUUCUCAGCCCCUCUGGGUUAAGGAGCCAGUAGUACACUUGCUGCCAUAAAGUUGCUCUGGGUUCCAUGGAAGCCAGAGAAAACACAGCUUAGCUCGCUAACGGAGGCAACUUCAGGCAUCAUUACUGUGAGCAGCUCUAUUAAGGGGACUCCUGCUCAGUGCUGACCCUUUCUAACCUCCUAUUCCAAUCCCUGGGCACCUGGAUGGGCGUGAGGCUUCAGGGGACCAAACUGGAGAGAUUCAAAGCAGGGGUUUCCCAGGGGUUAUUUAAUGCAGCAAGUGUUGUAUUCUCCUGCCCUCUUGCGAUGAGCUCCAGAAUAACAAGUGCCGGUCGCCUAAUCGUUCUGAGGCUAUGUCGAAACUGGGCACCAGAGGGCAGGGUUCUCAACACUAUCUCACCCAAUGCUUCCCCCUCUCCUUUUUCAGUAGAUUAUUUUUAAAAUAUCUUUAUUGAAAUAUACCAUACACUUCAACCGUUUAAAGUGUACCGUUUAAUAGUUUUUGGUAUAUUCACGGAAUUGUGCAACCGUCGCCACAAUUUAAUUUUAGAAUAUUUUCAUCAUCCCCAAAAGAAACCUUCUACUAAUAGCAGUCACUCCUGUUCUCCCUCUCCUCUGAGCCCUGGGCAACCAAUAGCAUACCUUCUGUUUUUAUAGAUUCGUCUGUUCUGGGCAUUUCCUAUAAAUGGGGUCAGCCAAUGAAAACCCGUAACGGUCUGAUCCUAUUUUGCAUGGGUCACCAUGAGUCAGGGGCUGACUCAAUGGCAGCCAACAGCAACGUAGUAUUUCUAAGCUCCUAAACCCACUCUCAGCCUCAGGGCUCAGGUCUCAUCCACGUCCAGCCUCAUCUGUAUCUUCUUUCUGUGGCCUGAAUGCGCCAUGUUCUCUCUCUCCUCAGGGCCUUCACAUGCUGUUCCCUCCUCCUGUAACCCUCUUCCCCACUUGCGUGUUUGCCUAACUAACUCACCCUCCAGGCCUUGCCUUAGAUACUACCUCUUCCAGGAAGCACUCCCUGAUCUCCUACAUCUGAGUUGGUUGUCUAGCAGUCCCGGCACUCACCCUCUCUCCGUGUUUGCGGGUUUCCUCCUGUGAGCUUAUUGAAGGGAGGAUGGCUCAAGUUGAUUCUUGAAUCCCCGAAGGCCCAACACAGGGCUGUGAUUGUGAAAUGGUGUGUCUUAGUUUGGUGUUGCUUGUAACAGAAAUACCUCAAGUGGAUAGUUUGGGCAAACAGAAACUUAUUCUCUCUCAGUUCAGGAGGCUAGAAGUCUGAAUUCAGGGUGCUGGCUCCAGGGGAAGUCUUUGUCUCUCUGUUGGCUUUGCGGGGAGGCCCUUAUGAUCAAUCUUCCCCUGGGUCUAGGAGCUUCUCAGCACAGGGACCCCAGGUCCAAAAGAAUGUGUUCUGCUCCUGGCUCUUCUUGCUUAGUGGUAACGAGGUCCCUUUUCUCUCUACUCAAUUCUCUCUUUUAUAUCUAAAAGAGUGACUAAAGAUACAACCUAAUCCUGUAGACCGUGUCUUGCCUCAUUAACAUAACUGCCUCUAAUCCUGCCUUAUUAACAUCAUCCAAAAAAAAAAUACCCCGUUACCUUCGAGUCAGUUCUGACUCAUAGCGACCCUAUAGGACAGAGGAGAACUGCUCCAUAGAGUUUCCAAGCAGCGGCUAGUAAAUUCAAACUGCCGACCUUUGGUUAGCAGCUGUAGCUCCCUGUAGCUCUUAACCACUGUGCCACCAGGGAUUUAUAACACAUAGGAAAAUUAUAUCAGAUCACAAAAUGGAGGACAACCACACAACACUGGGAAUCAUGGCCUAGCCAACUUGAUACACAUUCUGGGGGGACACAGUUCAAUCCAUAGCACGGUGGAUGAGGCAAAUGAGUGGAGAAGCCUAGAAGGUGUGGGUAAUUCCAGUGGAACUAGAGGAGGCUUCUUUGGGGAGGGCAGCAGGGGCUGACAAGUUGUGAGAAGUAGCCAGGGUGGCUGAGCCCAAAGAACAAGGCCACACAGGGCGCAGGGCUGUGGGAGCUUGGAAGGAGGAAGACAGGGCACUUCUCCCAGGGAGAGACGUGGCCAGCACUCCCACACUUGGCUCCUGGCCAGUGUCAAGAAAGAGCUGCAGUAUGAAAAGCUUUCCCACGGAGGACAAGUGUCCCCUCUGUGAGUACCUGAAGGAUGUGGGGGUGCCUGAGAAAUGGGAGAUGUCUAGUCACCCAGGCAGGGGCUGCAGGGGCCAGGUUGCUGAGGAGGAGGGUGUCAGACUGCUGCAUGGAGGGAGGGAAGGGUGCUGAAGGGAGAGAGGCAGGAUUCCAGGCCUGACUGAUCCCCAGAGACUCUGAGAUGAUGGGGCCUAGACCACCAGCCAGAGCAAUGAACCCUCUGAGUAAGGAAGGACAAAAGCAAGAAACCAUCACAGACAAAGUUCAUGCUAUGUUCACUAAAAUGUCUAAAAUGUUGGGACCAGCUGUCUGACUGACCCAUUGUACAAAUGGGGAAACUGAGGGCCAAGCCCAAAGUGACAUUUCCUAGGGCAGGGCCAGCCUUUGUCCUUUAGAAUUUAUUGUUCUGUGAAAUCUCAGGGUUCCUGACUCCAAAGUACUUCCUCUGCCUUGCUUACCACUGCCCCAAGUUCCACUGCUAACUAUGCAUUUAUUUAAAACAGAAAUCUCAAUUUCAAAAGCCCAUAGGGGUUCCCCCAGGGGCUGAGUGCCACAGGUCAGAUGGCUCAGCUGAGUGACUGCAGCCCUGAAGGAAAAUAACCCAAAUUCAUUGGGUAAUCUCUUCAUCUUAAACUUUGGUGCCUAAUUAAAACACAACAAGACACUUCCAAGACUUUGCUGGCCCACCAAGUCCUUCAGGAGACAGACAGGAUGGCCAUCAGCC